rnacentral:rRNA from 1 species
GACGAGCGCUGGCGGCGUGCCUAAUACACGCGAGUCGAACGGAAAGGCCCUGCUUUUGUGGGGUGCUCGAGUGGCGAACGGGUGAGUAACACGUGAGUAACCUGCCCUGGACUGUGGGAUAACUUUAGGAAACUGGGGCUAAAACCGGAUAGGAUCUCCUGCUGCAUGGUGGGGGUUGGAAAGUUUCGGCGGUUGGGGAUGGACUCGCGGCUUAUCAGCUUGUUGGUGGGGUAGUGGCUUACCAAGGCUUUGACGGGUAGCCGGCCUGAGAGGGUGACCGGCCACAUUGGGACUGAGAUACGGCCCAGACUCCUACGGGAGGCAGCAGUGGGGAAUAUUGCACAAUGGGCGGAAGCCUGAUGCAGCAACGCCGCGUGCGGGAUGACGGCCUUCGGGUUGUAAACCGCUUUCGCCUGUGACGAAGCGUGAGUGACGGUAAUGGGUAAAGAAGCACCGGCUAACUACGUG